AGAAGUUCGUGCACACGUACCCUCUACGUACUAAAGGCCCCUUCAGCACACACGCACACACUCCUCCUCCCGUUAAACAAGCAAGAAAAAGAAGAGCUAAAGCAAUGACCCGCGACGACGGUACCCAGGUGGCGCAGCUGCUGAGCGAGGGCAAGUACAACCUGCCGAUGUUUCUCCGCUACCUCAAGGCCUCCUCGAUGGAAGGCGACCAGCCCGACAAGUCUCUACUGCUCGGCAUCUUGCUGCAGUCUUUGGCUCGCUUCCAGACAAGCGACUUCACGGCAUGCAUGUGCCUCGUGCCCAGCCACGUCCAGGACUCUCCCAGCGUAGAGAAGGAGCUAAACUACAUCUACGGACUCGAGAAUCUGCUCAGCUGCGGCCUCUUCGCGCGCUUCUGGACGCAGUGGAGCUCUGUGAAAGAGCAUCUGCCUGAGUCCUUCCACUUCGAGGCCCGUGUGCGCACCAGCAUCUUAGAGACCAUCUGCAUCACGAUGGAGUCCAUUCCGACGGAGAAGCUGGCCACGUACCUUGCUGUCUCGCCGGACCAGGUGCAGAAGGUCGUGCAUAACGCCAUGAAAGACUCCGAGGACCGUGAUAUGAAGGUAAUGGCGUACGACAGCGGUAGCGUGGUGUUUCACCGCAAUCGUUUCAACUAUCCACAAGCUGGUGCGGCGCAGGAUGCCAUCCGCUUCACCGACGUGUCAUCUGUCAUCCACAACGACGUGCCGCGCCGCGGCGCUUCGGCUGCGGCGGACGAGCCACGGGACGUGCGCGCGCGGACGUGGGCUCGCACGGCGGAUGAAUAAGGGGACCGCCAACUUAUCCUUCCCUCCCCCGACCGGAACUCACUUUCUCUGGUUAGGCAUCAUGCUGUCUGUCGUUCUCGUUGGUGGUCCGCCGGCCUGCAUUGCCGCAUAUGCGCGCUCACAGCGGGGGGCUGGUGAGUGGUAUUGUUUGGUAAAGAGAAGAAGUGGAAGAAACAAACUUGUGGGAGAAAAGCAGGCGGCCGUUAACGGCGAAGUUGACAGCGAAAAAGACGAAAAAAAAAAGAGCGCACGUCAAAGUGGAGCGAUAUCGCGCAGAGAAGCUGACCGCCCCACCCUGUUCUUGCUCCCCACCUGGCGCGCAGCACCCCACCCUAUUCCGUCCCCUUCUCCCUCAAGCCCUCGACUCGCCCAUUCUCAUCAUCGCUGGAUCGGCGAGGUGAGCAUUGCAGUCGUCAAGGGGUUUCAGGGAGGGGGGGGUCUUUGGGAAGACCUACACGCACCUGCAGCGCAAGCUCGGGAAUCCGGAGCCGGCUCACCUUCUGGGACGUGCCACCGCCUCUCCCCCUCCCUGCCCGUUGCUCUUUUUUUUUUUCGUUCAUUCAAUUGUGUACUAACUGGGUAGUGUAAGAGACUAAGAUGAGGCGUGCGAUGAAAGGCCAGAGAACAGGAAACGAGACAAUAUGCCCGCAAAAAAGCAGACGAAGAGGCAACCGCUUACCUGGAGAUGAACGGGCUUCUCCCUUCCCUUUCCCCCUCCCUCUCCAGAGGCCGUGGGUCUCCAGAAGCCGGUCUGUUAUCGGCCCGACCUCUGCUCUAGUGCACUACGUAUGAUGCGGGAGGAAGGAAGAGAGAGAAAGAGGGAAGGCAUGCCCAUCCUCACCUUGUGCUGUUCAGUGCGCCUCAGUCGGCCAUCUCUUUCACCAGUACAACUGCGACUCUGUUCCUGCUCCCCCCUUUUCUCCGUGCCCACACACGUGCUCGCGGUGAUUGGCAUCUGGCCUGGUCAAAAAGCAUAUGCUUGGACACAGGCUACCACUCGAAAAAAAAAAAGGGACUAUCUUCACUGCGCUUUUCCACCCCAUCGCCUUUGGUAAUAAUAAUAAUAACAAUAUAUAUAUAUACAUACAUAUAUACAUGCACAACCCUUUGAAG
rnacentral:misc_RNA from 1 species